UGUAAGUACGUGCCAGGGGCCGGGUGAAUAGGGUGGUGGGAGGCGGUGUCGGGAUGUAUUGGGCGUAAAGAGCGGGGAGGCGGCCAUGCAGGUCAGCUGUGAAAACUCGGGGCUCAACCUGGAGACGUCGGUUGAAACCGUAUGACUAGAGUCCGGAAGAGGAGAGUGGAAUUCCCGGUGUAGCGCUGAAAUGCGCAGAUAUCGGGAAGAACACCCAUGGCGAAGGCAGCUCUCUGGGACGGUACUGACGCUGAGACGCGAAAGCGUGGGGAGCAAACAGGAUUAGAUUCCCUUGUAGUC
rnacentral:rRNA from 1 species